rnacentral:rRNA from 1 species
UGGGGAAUAUUGCACAAUGGGGGAAACCCUGAUGCAGCGACGCCGCGUGAGCGAAGAAGGUUUUCGAAUCGUAAAGCUCUGUCCUAUGGGAAGAUAAUGACGGUACCAUAGGAGGAAGCCCCGGCUAACUACGUGCCAGCAGCCGCGGUAAUACGUAGGGGGCAAGCGUUGUCCGGAAUCACUGGGCGUAAAGGGUUCGCAGGCGGAAAUGCAAGUCAGUUGUGAAAGGCAGAGGCUCAACCUCUGUAAGCAAUUGAAACUGUAUUUCUUGAGAUGUGGAGAGGCAAGUGGAAUUCCUAGUGUAGCGGUGAAAUGCGUAGAUAUUAGGAAGAAUACCGGUGGCGAAGGCGACUUGCUGGACACAAACUGACGCUGAGGAACGAUAGCGUGGGUAGCAAACAGG